rnacentral:rRNA from 1 species
CCCUUAGACGUUCUGGGCCGCACGCGCGCUACACUGACCAGUGCAACAAGCAUCCGUCCUUGGCCGACAGGCCCGGGCAAUCUUUGAACGCUGGUCGUGAUGGGGAUAGACUUUUGCAAUUUUUGGUCUUCAACGAGGAAUUCCUAGUAAACGCAAGUCAUCAACUUGCAUUGAUUACGUCCCUGCCCUUUGUACACACCGCCCGUCGCACCUACCGAUUGAAUGGUCCGGUGAAGCCUCCGGAUUGGCGCGCACCUCGGUGCCGCCGAGAAGUUGGCUAAACCUUACCAUUUAGAGGAAGGGGAANUCGUAACA